AGGACAGAGCCAGUGGGCACAGCUCCUUGGUACUGGGCAUGGACACAGAUUCGCCCAUCAGUGAACACACAGGGCCUUGCUGGAAAAGGGAAACUCGGGAGCCAUGUCAUUGACAUUGAUGACCUCCACAAUCACAGGCAGCCUGGUCACCUGCAGCAACUCAGCGGUUAGAGGUCAAGGGUCAUCACUCCUUCCAACCCACUUCCCCAUCCUGAUGCCCAGCCCCCACACUCACCACAAUGGACCCCUCUUUGCACUCUAGGAUUGCAGUCAGCACAGUAUGCGUCUGGGUGGAGGGAAGAAGGGAAUGUGGAACUGGUCAUUUCCUUAACAAGCCAAGCCCCUGGACAUCCACACUUUGGAGUGACAGAUUGAGGGAGAGCCUUCCACCGCCUCCCUACCUGAGCUCCAGGGAGAAGCAGCAGCAGAGGCAGAAGCCCCAGGGCCCAGCCAGAGGCCUC